UUGGAGGGCAAGUCUGGUGCCAGCAGCCGCGGUAAUUCCAGCUCCAAUAGCGUAUAUUAAAGUUGUUGCAGUUAAAAAGCUCGUAGUUGAGUUUCGGGAUCAAUAUUUCGGUCAUGCCGUUGGUAUGCACUGUUAUCAUUGAUUUCUCACCUUCUAAAGAACCGUAAUGCCAUUAAUUUGGUGUUACGGGGAAUUAGGACUGUUACCUUGAAAAAAUUAGAGUGUUUAAAGCAGGCUCACGCUUGAAUACAUUAGCAUGGAAUAAUGAAAUAGGACAUCCGAUUCUAUUUUGUUGGUUUCUAGGAUCGAUGUAAUGAUUAAUAGGGAUAGUUGGGGGCAUUAGUAUUCAAUUGUCAGAGGUGAAAUUCUUGGAUUUAUUGAAGACUAACUACUGCGAAAGCAUUUGCCAAGGAUGUUCUCAUUAAUCAAGAACGAAAGUUAGGGGAUCGAAGACGAUCAGAUACCGUCGUAGUCUUAACCAUAAACUAUGCCGACUAGGGAUCGGAUGAUGUUAAUUUUUUAAUGACUCAUUCGGCGCCUUACGGGAAAC
rnacentral:rRNA from 1 species